rnacentral:tRNA from 1 species
AGCUCAGCUGGUUAGAGCAUCGGAUUCAUAACCCGAAGGUCGGCAGUUCAAGUCUGCUC